CCUACGGGAGGCAGCAGUGGGGAAUAUUGCACAAUGGGGGAAACCCUGAUGCAGCGACGCCGCGUGAGGGAAGAAGUAUUUCGGUAUGUAAACUUCUAUCAGCAGGGAAGAAAAUGACGGUACCUGACUAAGAAGCCCCGGCUAACUACGUGCCAGCAGCCGCGGUAAUACGUAGGGGGCAAGCGUUAUCCGGAUUUACUGGGUGUAAAGGGAGCGUAGGCGGGUGAGCAAGUCAGAAGUGAAAGCCAGGGGCUCAACUCCGGGACUGCUUUUGAAACUGUUGAACUAGAGUGCAGGAGAGGUAAGUGGAAUUCCUAGUGUAGCGGUGAAAUGCGUAGAUAUUAGGAGGAACACCAGUGGCGAAGGCGGCUUACUGGACUGUAAAUGACGCUGAGGCUCGAAAGCGUGGGGAGCAAACAGGAUUAGAUACCCUUGUAGUC
rnacentral:rRNA from 1 species